GUGAGGAUUGAGCUGCACAUGUUUGGCGCUAGUUCGGGUCGAUACCACGCACUGAAAACAUGUCUGCUUAGAUCAAUUUCCCAAGUUUCGUAACUUGUAGUCCAACUAAGAAAUGAGAGGCGCAGAGCAGCAAUCACGGCGAUGCGUGUCUUGCACGUAGUCGCGUCGAAAACUGCAAGCUAACAGCUGACCCAUGAAUGUCCGGUGAAAGCAACUUUUCCCUCUCAAUUUCCCCUCGUCUUGCACCCUUGGCAAGCGGAGCGAGGUAUGUUGGUUUAUUGUAAGCCUUUAGUGUGAUUAUGUUUAAUUUUGGUGUCUUUAUGUAAGUGAAGCAAAUAAUGCACACGUUUAAGUUUUCUUUGUUGUGCUGAAAUAUGUUUUCUAUAAUAUGUCAUUCUUAAAUUUCCUGUAUUGGAAUAAUAUUUGAAUUCAAGUGAAUAUUGUAAAGGUC
ensembl:lncRNA